UAUGAACGCUGGCGGCGUGCCUAAUACAUGCAAGUCGAGCGAACGGACGAGAAGCUUGCUUCUCUGAUGUUAGCGGCGGACGGGUGAGUAACACGUGGAUAACCUACCUAUAAGACUGGGAUAACUUCGGGAAACCGUAGCUAAUACCGGAUAAUAUUUUGAACCGCAUGGUUCAAAAGUGAAAGACGGUCUUGCUGUCACUUAUAGAUGGAUCCGCGCUGCAUUAGCUAGUUGGUAAGGUAACGGCUUACCAAGGCAACGAUGCAUAGCCGACCUGAGAGGGGGGACGGCGACAUUGGGAUAGAGGCGCGGACCAGAGGGCUACGGGAGGAAGAGCGAGGGAUUGUGCAGCAAUGUGCGAAAGCCUGAGGGAGCAAUAAAGAGUGAGGAAAGAAGGUGUUAGGAUCUGAAAACUUUGUGAUUAGUGAAGAAAAAAAGUCUACGUAAAUAUGCACGCCGUGAAGGUAACUAAUAAGAAAGGAACCGCUAACCACGUC
rnacentral:rRNA from 1 species